rnacentral:rRNA from 1 species
UACGGAGGGUGCGAGCGUUGCCCGGAAUCAUUGGGCGUAAAGGGCGCGUAGGUGGCCACUUCAAGCGUGCGGUGAAAGUCGGGGGCUCAACCCCUGAUCGGCCGUGCGAACUGGGGGGCUGGAGCACUGUAGAGGCAGGCGGAAUUCCGGGUGUAGCGGUGGAAUGCGUAGAGAUCCGGAGGAACACCUGUGGCGAAGGCGGCCCCCUGGGCCGCACCUGACGCUGAGACGCGAAAGCGCGGGGAGCGAACGGG